rnacentral:rRNA from 1 species
UACGAAGGGGGCUAGCGUUGUUCGGAUUUAUUGGGCGUAAAGAGCUCGUAGGCGGUCUGUCGCGUCUGCUGUGAAAACCUAGGGCUUAACUCUGGGCGUGCAGUGGGUACGGGCAGGCUAGAGUGCGGUAGGGGAGACUGGAAUUCCUGGUGUAGCGGUGAAAUGCGCAGAUAUCAGGAGGAACACCGGUGGCGAAGGCGGGUCUCUGGGCCGUAACUGACGCUGAGGAGCGAAAGCAUGGGGAGCGAACAGG